GCGCCCUUAGCUCAGCUGGAUAGAGCACCAGACUACGAAUCUGGGGGUCAGGAGUUCGAAUCUCUUAGGGCGCGCCA
rnacentral:tRNA from 24 species